GACGAACGCUGGCGGCGUGCUUAACACAUGCAAGUCGAACGGAAAGGCCCUGCUUUUGUGGGGUUCUCGAGUGGCGAACGGGUGAGUAACACGUGAGUAACCUGCCCUUGACUUUGGGAUAACUUCAGGAAACUGGGGCUAAUACCGGAUAGGAGCUCCUGCUGCAUGGUGGGGGUUGGAAAGUUUCGGCGGUUGUGGAUGGACUCGCGGCUUAUCAGCUUGUUGGUGGGGUAGUGGCUUACCAAGGCUUUGACGGGUAGCCGGCCUGAGAGGGUGACCGGCCACAUUGGGACUGAGAUACGGACCAGAAUCCUAUGGGAGGCAGCAGUGGGGAAUAUUGCACAAUGGGCGGACGCCUGAUGCAGCAACGCCGCGUGCGGGAUGACGGCCUUCGGGUUGUAAACCGCUUUCGCAUGUGACGAAGCGUGAGUGACGGUAAUGGGUAAAGAAGCACCGGCUAACUACGUG
rnacentral:rRNA from 1 species